UAACACCAUGAUUUUAUCUGACCUGUGUCUCACAUCAGGCUCAGCUGCAGCCUAAUUUGGUCCUGGUCAUUUUUAAGAAAAUGAACUGACUUAUAAAUUCCUUCCCAUCCUUGCCACAACGUUAUAGGCUCCACGUCCCUGAGCUGAGGUACUUCAGAGCUGGAGAGGAAGCAAUAGGAGUUCUUACCUGUGCUUUUAUCUUCAGUCCAGAUUAUGUCUUGUAUUACGGAAAUCAUUCAAUUUUUCACCAGAGAAUAAGGAUGACUACAAUUCAAAAGGCUGACCUAUCCAGGUGAAGAUGAGAGUGUGCAGCAUUGGAAAUUCUUACACAUUGCUGGAGAUUUAGAAGCUAAAGAAAGAGGACAAAUGAUUUGGAAGCAAAGAUAAGAAGGAAGAAGGGUGAUCCGCCCACUUCGGCCUCCCAGUGUGCUGAGAUUACAGGUGUGAGCCACUGCGCCCAGCUCUUCUAGCCUGUUUUAACAGAUAUCUGCAAGAGGCUUGGAUCAUGCUGACCUAACCCAGGAAAUUUUAAAUUUACUCCAGACAGGAACCAGAAUCAACAUAACCUACGAGACUUUGAUUAGAAUCUAACAGGUACCUGAGUGCCUUUUGUAAGUAAAUGGCUCUAGUUGCUCAAUUGGCCACUGCUCUGCCACCAGGAUCCCUAGAAGAGACCAGAUAAACCUGAAGCACGUAGCUAAUCACUUCCAUGCCGUGAUGGAAUGCAGUGCUGUCUGCCAACAAGUUUGAGCCAGUCUUUCAAGAUGCAUCCUGAGUGGCUAACUGGGCCUGCAUUUCAAGUUGAGCCAAGGGACCAUUUGCUAACGAGGGGACACACACAUGUUCUGAGUUCACCCAAAACACAUACCUUAUUAUUUUGGGGCUUUUCAGCCCACCUGCCUCUGCUAAUCAGGGCUCAGCUGUAUUGACCCAUUAGAACUCAGCUGGGUUGACCAAUCAGAACUAAGUGAGUUUGGAGUUUUAAUUCUCAAUUGAAUGAACAGACCUGAUUGGGAACCUGCGUGGGAACUUUGGCUAUUAAACCUGAGCAUUCUUUCUGUUCUCUGGAAGAAAUAAUGUUUAAGUUGCUAACACUUUAUGCAUUUUCCUAAAAUUGAAUCAAACAACUCCUUUUGAAACAUAACCCUGAUAUCAGGGAAGUCGUACAACACCGUGCUAAAUAAUUUUAUACCUCUAACCAAGGUCUGUGCCCUAAUCAGCAGGAAGUGCCAGAGUGUCUGUCACCCAUUCUCCCUCAAGAUUGAGAAAUGAACAAUGAAAAAAGGGGGAUUUGAAAAUGCAGAACCAGCCCAAUGUGGUUCAAGUUUGUGUAAUAAAAUAAUGCGUUGUUUUACUGUU
rnacentral:lncRNA from 1 species